rnacentral:rRNA from 1 species
AAGUCGUACGAGAAAUCCUCUGCUUGCAGGGGAGAGUAAAGUGGCGCACGGGUGAGUAUCGCGUGGGUAAUCUACCCUUGAAUUCAGGAUAACACUUCGAAAGGGGUGCUAAUACUGGAUAACAUCCUGAUGGUUUAGGCCAUAAGGAUCAAAGAUAGCCUCUACAUGUAAGCUAUAGUUCAGGGAUGAGCCCGCGUACCAUUAGCUAGUUGGUGGGGUAAGAGCCUACCAAGGCAACGAUGGUUAGCUGGUCUGAGAGGAUGAUCAGCCACACUGGAACUGAAACACGGUCCAGACUCCUACGGGAGGCAGCAGUGAGGAAUUUUGCGCAAUGGGGGAAACCCUGACGCAGCAACGCCGCGUGAGUGAAGAAGGCUUUCGGGUCGUAAAGCUCUGUCAAGAGGGAAGAAAGUGGGAGAUGGUAAUACUGUUUUCUAUUGACGGUACCUCUGAAGGAAGCACCGGCUAACUCCGUGCCAGCAGCCGCGGUAAUACGGGGGGUGCAAGCGUUAUUCGGAUUUAUUGGGCGUAAAGAGCGCGUAGGCGGUUUAUCAAGUCAGAUGUGAAAGCCCUGGGCUCAACCUGGGAAGUGCAUUUGAAACUAGUAGACUUGAGUAUGGGAAAAGGGAAGUGGAAUUCCUGGUGUAGAGGUGAAAAUUCNUANAUAUCANGANGAACACCGGUGGGCGAANGCGACUUUCUGGACCAAUACUUGACCCUUANGCCCCAAAGCCUNGGGAGCAAACAGGAUUAGAUNCCCUGGUANUCCACNCANUAAACCGGNGAUCCUANGGGUANCGGGUNUUGACCCCU